rnacentral:rRNA from 1 species
UUAGGAGCUCACUGGCUUCGGAGUCAUAGGAACUCUGAAGUUAAGCGAGUUCGGGUUAGAGCAAUCCCAGGAUGGGUGACCUACUGAGAAGUUUCUAGUGAGUUCCCAGA